AGGGCGAUUCUAACAGGGCCCGCCCCCCUGACGGUACCGUCGACCAGAAACGCCCCGGCUAACGUACGUGCCAGCAGCCGCGGUAAUACGUAGGGGGCAAGCGUUGUCCGGAAUUACUGGGCGUAAAGGGCGCGUAGGCGGCCUGUUAAGUCGAACGUGAAAUCCCCGGGCUCAACCCGGGAACUGCGUCCGAUACUGGCUGGCUUGAAUCCGGGAGAGGGAUGCGGAAUUCCAGGUGUAGCGGUGAAAUGCGUAGAUAUCUGGAGGAACACCGGUGGCGAAGGCGGCAUCCUGGACCGGUAUUGACGCUGAGGCGCGAAAGCCAGGGGAGCAAACGGGAUUAGAUACCCCGGUAGUCCUGGCCCCUAAACGAUGAAUGCUUGGUGUGGCGGGUAUUGAUUUCUGCCGUGCCGAAGCUAACGCAUUAAGCAUUCCGCUGGGGAGUACGGUCAGGGGGGCGGCCCUGUUAGAACCGCCCU
rnacentral:rRNA from 1 species